rnacentral:rRNA from 1 species
UACGUAGGUCCCGAGCGUUGUCCGGAUUUAUUGGGCGUAAAGCGAGCGCAGGUGGUUUAUUAAGUCUGGUGUAAAAGGCAGUGGCUCAACCAUUGUAUGCAUUGGAAACUGGCAGACUUGAGUGCAGGAGAGGAGAGUGGAAUUCCACGUGUAGCGGUGAAAUGCGUAGAUAUAUGGAGGAACACCGGUGGCGAAAGCGGCUCUCUGGCCUGUAACUGACACUGAGGCUCGAAAGCGUGGGGAGCAAACAGG